rnacentral:rRNA from 1 species
CCUACGGGAGGCAGCAGUGAGGAAUAUUGGUCAAUGGCCGGAAGGCUGAACCAGCCAUGCCGCGUGAAGGUCAGUGCCCUAUGGGCGUUAAACUUCUUUUGUGCGGGAGCAAUAAUGGUCACGUGUGGCCAGACGAGAGUACCGUACGAAUAAGCAUCGGCUAACUCCGUUCCAGCAGCCGCGGUAAUACGGGGGAUGCAAGCGUUAUCCGGAUUUAUUGGGUUUAAAGGGUGCGUAGGCUGUGAGGUAAGUCAGCGGUGAAAUGCCCCCGCUCAACGGGGUGAAGUGCCAUUGAUACUGGCUUGCUGGAAUGCGGAUGCGGUGGGAGGAAUGUGUGGUGUAGCGGUGAAAGGCAUAGAUAUCACACAGAACACCGUUUGCGAAGGCAUCUCACGAAUCCGCGAUUGACGCUGAUGCACGAAAGCGUGGGUAUCAAACAGGAUUAGAUACCCCUGUAGUC